CAGUUUAAGUGUUGGCUAACAACAAAAUAUAUUAUGCCACAUAAGGAUGAACCACAACUCCUACAAGUUCCACCAGAAAAGUAUUCAUUCAUUGAUCAACAUCAUUGGGCAGAAUUUGUAAGGUCUAGAUUGUGUGAAACUUUUCAGGAAAAAAGACUUCUCCAACAAGAUAGACGAUCUAAGAACAAGUAUAACCAUAGGAUUUCGAGGAAGGGUUAUGCCAAUCUUAUCGAGGAAAUG